GACGAACCGUGCAAACGUUAUUCGGAAUCACUGGGCUUAAAGGGCGCGUAGGCGGGUCGGCAAGUCAGGGGUGAAAGCCCACGGCUCAACCGUGGAAGUGCCUUUGAUACUGCCGACCUCGAGGGAGGUAGGGGCGUGCGGAACUUCCGGUGGAGCGGUGAAAUGCGUAGAUAUCGGAAGGAACACCGGUGGCGAAAGCGGCGCGCUGGAUCUCUACUGACGCUGAGGCGCGAAAGCCAGGGGAGCAAACGGG
rnacentral:rRNA from 1 species